rnacentral:rRNA from 1 species
CUAAAACAGUCAGGAUGUUGGCUUAGAAGCAGCCAUCAUUUAAAGAAAGCGUAAUAGCUCACUGAUCGAGUCGUCCUGCGCGGAAGAUGUAACGGGGCUAAGCCAGUCACCGAAGCUGCGGAUAUAUUUCUCGAUACUUGUAUCUUGAUCUAUAUGGUAGGAGAGCGUUCUGUAAGCCUGCGAAGGUGUCUUGUAAAGGAUGCUGGAGGUAUCAGAAGUGCGAAUGCUGACAUGAGUAGCGAUAAUGGGAGUGAAAAGCUCCCACGCCGUAAGCCCA